rnacentral:tRNA from 1 species
UCCCGUGUAGCUCAGGUAGUAGAGCAUGGUGUUUGCAACACCAGGGUUGUGGGUUCGAUUCCCACAGGGGAC